AAGUCGUCGGCCACGGCCACCACGCGCUCGUUGUGGGAACGGCACAGGGAGUUGAUGUCUGUCCCGUCCGAGCCAUCGGGCCACACGCCUGGGACCGCGGGAGGUCAGGGCCGCCCCGCCUCGGCACAGCCCUCCGCCGCCCGGCCCGGCCGCACUCACCGUACACGUGGAAACCCAGCACGCAGGUCCAUAACUUCCGCCUGUGUGCACGGGUCCAGCUCCACCUAACAAACCAGUCGGCCACCACCUGUGCAUCUGACGGCCCCUCAGUCUGGUGUUCCCCGAGUAUCUCCCGGUCCCUGGGCCAGGAGCCCCCCAAAUAAAGCCCACCCCAGCCGCUCACAGUAAAGAAUCUCGUAGUCCCCCGGAGUUGGACAUGAUGAAGUUGCCGUCCUUGGACCAGUCGAGCUCGGCACCCGGCCCCUCUGCGAUGGCCCGCACAGCUCCGAAGUGCUCCGGGAUCUGCAGGUGGGAACAGGUGUCCAGGGCCCACCGAGGACCGCUCCCCCUCCUGGGCCCCAGCUUGCCCUCACCUCUGUCUCCUGGAGGGCCACCAACCCCGGCCCCCACUGCACCAGCCGGCGGUCUCGGCCGCCACCACUCAGCAGCGUCCCAUCCCGCCGGAGACAUAGGGCAAAGAUGGAACCUUCAU
rnacentral:lncRNA from 1 species